CUACUUACCUGGCAGGGGUGAUACCAUGAUCACGAAGGUGGUUUUCCCAGUGCAAGGCUGAUCCAUUGCACUCCGGAGGUGCUGACCCUUGUGGUUUCCCCAAAUGUGGGAAACUCGACCGCACAACUUGUGGUAGUGGGGCUGCGCUCAUGCUCUCCCUU
rnacentral:snRNA from 1 species